GAAGCCGUGAACCUUUGAUGAUGGACAGAACUGAAAGUUUAACCUGAAAACAGAAAUGUCACUUCAUCAGGUCACAUUUAGAACAGCAGCAGCAUUUACACGAACAAUCUGUGAGGGAUCAUGUUUCUUGGGAGGAUCCUGCACUGAGUGAGCUGAGUCUCAGAGGAUUUUACCCGAGGUCCUCGAUGCUGAGUGGGGGUCCGGAGCCCAUGGGGUUCCUCAGCAUCAGGUCCUG